CUCUGAAGUCAUUUUUGUUGUUCAUCAGCAUCUAAACAUAAGUUAGGGUUAGCACAAUUUCAUGAAUGCAGUUAAUAACAGCAUAAUAACGGCAGCUUUAAACUGUGUGUUAAAUUGUCACAGUCUAAACUUGCUAUGCCUGCUGGCUUACUUAAAAAGAAAUCGAGUUGCUUACUGAGCUGGACAGUUUGCACAGGUCUCCAUCAUCCACUCCACCACAGUCCAUCCUGUAAGACAAGAAUCCCUAUAAACGAUACGCCUGUGACCCAAAGAAGCCAGCAACGUUACACAAGAAAAGGUCACACUUCAUGGAAGAUCACAAGCUGCUGAAAAAGGGGAAAGUAUGAAAAGAGGAACAUAGAUUUGUGCAUUAGCAGCAUUCCACCAGCCUCUCUCGUCGUCUGGCUUCGAGUCUGCCUUUGAAUACAACUUUAAGACUUGACAAGUAAACAAGAAUCGAGUAUAAUGAGCCAGCAGCGAUGUAACUGGCGGCUGAUGUUAUCUGGUUAAUUCCAUACAUUCUCCACGUAAGCUUCCCAUAGCUUGACGUUAGCCGAAACAACAUUAGCUAGCGGCUACCUGUCUGAGCUUAGCCGUCUCAUCAGCGCAGCUAAACAACUAAAGUCAACUUCACAUUCAAGCGUUCUGAACUUCUCAAUGUACCGAAAACGCAACACUUACUUUUCUUGGAUUUAAGGUGUGCUGUUUCAAGCUCGUAACAUCGCUAAACAGACGAAGUUAGCCAGAAGCUAACAAAGUUUUUGUGCUGUCACUUGCUUAGCCCCGCCCCUGUCUUGCGUUGCCUUGGUGCCGAAUGGAGCUCUCAUCCAAUCAGAGACGGAGCGGGACACCGUUGUCUUCCUGUUUACAACAGAGGCAGAUGUGAACUCAGGAGGAGAUUGCGGUGCAGGUGCUCAGGCUUCUUCCCACAGUCCAAAGACAUGCCUAUUAGGUUGAUUGGUGUUUCUAAGUAAGUUGUAGAUGUAAGCAUGUGGGCAACACGGUGACUCUGUGGUUACAGCUGUCACCUCACAGUGAGAAGAUCUGUGGUUCAUGUCUUUCUGCAUGGAGUUUGCAUGUUCUGUCUGUGCCUCCUUGGGUUCUCACUGGGUUCUACCAGCUUCCUCCCACAGUCUAAAAACAUGCUGAGUUUCAUUGGUGAUUCUAAAUUGUCCGUAGGUGUGAAUGUGCAUGUGCUUGUUUGUGUCCCCUGCCUUCGCCUUAAGUCAGCUGGGAUAGACUCCAGCCCUCCUGUGACCCUAAUGAGGAUUAUAUGUAUAGUUAUUGGAUGGAUGGAUGAAUGUAAGCAUGUGCGUUUUUCUUUCUCUUUUUUUCUGCCCUGGUCAGUUUCAGGUUAUGUUUUCUCUCACCCAGUUUCAGCUGAAAUAGGUUCCAGCUCCCUGCAGCUCAUGGAAUGGAGUAAAUAUCUGUAAGUGCCAUAAGUAUGUGAACCUUCAUUAUCUGGUCUGAUCCCUUGCAAAGGCUGCAACUACAGUAUUGAUUAGUCCUGCAAAUCAGCUUGGAGGAAUUUAAGAGCAUUUUUAGUGCAUUCUUUCAUACAGAACAAGUUCAACGCAGGAAUGUAGGUUUGUUUUCUCAUGUGAACUGCUCACUUCAGGUCCUUUCACAACAUUUCUAUAGGAUUAGGGUCAGGACUCUGACUUGGCUGUUCCAUGUUAUUUACUUAAUUCUUCUUUAACCAUUCUUAGAAUGACUUGUGUGCUUAAAUGACCCAUUUUCUAUUGAGAUUCAUGUCACAGACAGAUGCCCUGACAUUUUCAUUUGGACUUUGCUGAUGUAUUUCAGAAUUCAUGAAUGAUAGGAAGCCAUCCCAUCCAUCCAGGUUUCCGAUGAGGGAUGAGGCAGGAUGGCACUCCCCUGUGUGCGACGUUGUGUAGCUCUCUGAGUCAAGUUAGCUUUGUUACCAGCUCUGAACUGACAGCUACAUGUUCCUGGGCCUGAACAUCUCAGAGAGCCUCAGCAGUCCCAAACACACUGCAAUCGCAGUGAAGAAAGCUCAGCAGAGGCUGCACUUCAUUAGGAUGCCAGCUUCUCACCCAAGCCUACAAAGGAUGGGUUGAGAGCGUCCUCACCUGCUCCAUCACAGUGUGGUACGGCAACACCACUGUGGCUGAGCGGAAAUCACUCCAGCGUGUCAUCAGAACUGCAGAGAAAGUUGUUGGCUCUGGCCUCCCGUCUAUGGACACCAUAUACACACAUCGGUGCUGGUGGAAAGCGCAGAACAUUCUGACGGACAAACUCCAUUCAGUUCAUAGCCUGUUUCGGUGGGGGAACUCGGGCUACGGCCUGAGACACAGCAGACCAGUGAGCAUCGGAGCCUGUACAGCGCGUUUUCAUAACAGCUUUUUCCCAGCCACCAUCAGACAAGUGGCAUUGGACAUCAGGGAGGGGAGGUGCUAUAACACGGCAUAACAUCAAAAUAUCGCAACAUCACACAAAUUAUAAUGGACAAAUGUGCAAUACUCUCAUGAUGUGCAACAAGUCUUUUAUUGAUUGUUGUGUUUUUUUAUCUAUUUAUGUUAAUAUCUGUAUGUAAUUUAGUUAAACUUAAAUGUGAUUUAUUUCAGGGUUCUUGUUUCUUUUUAAUUGUUGCUAAAUUAUUAUUAUUUUUACUCGGAGUCACGUACAAGAACUCCGAUGUACCUGUACUGUGAUGUACCUGUACAAAUGGCAAUAAAUUCUGUUCUAUUCUAUUCCAUCCUGGCCCAGAUGCAGCUUAACAGGCCCAACCCCAUGAUACUACUACCACCAUGUUUCACAGAUGGGACAUCCUGGAAUGCAGCAUUUUUUCUUCUUAUUUAAACCAAAAAGUACUAUUUUAGUGUCAUUAACAUUUUUCCAGCCUUCUGACUUGUCCAUGUGAGCAAUCCUGCCAGGCACAUCAUUGUUGUUCAGUGUUCUCCUGAUGGUGGACUCAUGAACCGUAACAACAGGCAAUCUAAAAGAGGGCUUUAGUUGUUUAAAAGUUACACCGUGUUCCUUUGUGAUUACGCUAAGUAUUACAAACUUUGUUCCUAGAGGGUUCUUUGUUGUUCAACCUCUCCUGGUGAGACCAACAAUGGUUUUGAAUUUCUUCCAUUUGUGCACAAUCUGUCUGAUGGUGCAUUAGUGGAGUUCAAACUCUUCAGAGAUAGUUUUGUAACCUUUGCAAACAUGAUACACUGCCACCUCCACAAGUAUGUGUUGCUAAGAUCCGACUUUGAUAAAUUCCUGUUCUUGAAAUGCAACACCAGAGUCUAGUUUCACCCUCAAAUGAACUGCCAACAAGAGAUUCAUAUACGUUUGCCACUGAGACAUUUAAUAUUGGAUCAGUUUCCUCAACAAAUAAGUACAAUGUUUUUGCCUCAUUUGUUUAGUUGGGUUUUCUCUAUCUGCUUCAUAGAAAUAUAGAAAAUUCAAAGCACUACUGUACAUAUACAGUACUUUCACUCACACCAUUACAAGCACAAUGUUCAUAUAAUCAGAACCAGAUUUUUUGCAUAUUUUACCUUUAAUGUUGUCCAUAUCAAAGUAUUUUUUUAACUUGUCCUUCACCUUGUCUUCAUUCAGUUAAGUUAAAUUUAACAUAAACAUAAUUGUCACUACUGAGAUAAAUUCAUUAAUUUACAAAAUUACGUAAUGGGUGUUAUCUACAGCUAAGACCAUUCAUCUUUUCAUGUUUGUGCAAGUGAUGUUUUUUUGAACAUGUAAAAAAACAUUAAGGUUAAAUGUCUGAUUUUUCCUGAAAAUGUAAUAAAUUGAUUUUCAUUUA